AUUGAACGCUGGCGGCAGGCCUAACACAUGCAAGUCGAGCGAGCGGUGGACGGGUGAGAAAUGUAUGGGGACUGCCCGAUAGCGGGGGAUAACUACUGGAAACGGUAGCUAAUACCGCAUACUAUCGGAUAACCCAUAUGGGAUUAGCUAGUAGGUGGGGUAAUGGCUCACCUAGGCGACGUACCCUAGCUGGUCUGAGAGGAUGAUCAGCAAAACUGGGACUGAGACACGGCCCAGACUCCUACGGAGGCAGCAGUGGGGAAUAUUGCACAAGGGGCGCAAGCCUGAUGCAGCCAGGCCGCGUGUAUGAAGAAGGCCCUAGGGUUGUAAAGUACUUUCAGUCGGGAGGCGUUACCGGCAGAAGAAGCACCGGCUAACUCCGUGCCAGCAGCCGCGGUAAUUC
rnacentral:rRNA from 1 species